AGUGAACGCUGGCGGUAGACCUAACACAUGCAAGUCGAACGGCAGCACAGUAGAGCUUGCUCUUACGGGUGGCGAGUGGCGGACGGGUGAGGAAUACAUCGGAAUCUACUUUUUCGUGGGGGAUAACGUAGGGAAACUUACGCUAAUACCGCAUACGACCUACGGGUGAAAGCAGGGGAUCUUCGGACCUUGCGCGAUUGAAUGAGCCGAUGUCGGAUUAGCUAGUUGGCGGGGUAAAGGCCCACCAAGGCGACGAUCCGUAGCUGGUCUGAGAGGAUGAUCAGCCACACUGGAACUGAGACACGGUCCAGACUCCUACGGGAGGCAGCAGUGGGGAAUAUUGGACAAUGGGCGCAAGCCUGAUCCAGCCAUACCGCGUGGGUGAAGAAGGCCUUCGGGUUGUAAAGCCCUUUUGUUGGGAAAGAAAAGCAGCAGGUUAAUACCCCGCUGUUCUGACGGUACCCAAAGAAUAAGCACCGGCUAACUUCGUG
rnacentral:rRNA from 1 species